rnacentral:rRNA from 1 species
UUAAUAUUCCAGCACCUAUUAUUACUGCGAUGGGGUGACGGAGAAGCGUAAAGUCCGCCAACUUACGGAAUAGUUGGUUAAAGUGCGUAGGUGUUGAUUCAGUAGGCAAAUCCGCUGAUGAACUGAAACAUGAUAGUACUCAGAUCCUUUCGGGGUGAAGAGAUAGUGGCUCCAAGCAUACUUCCAAGAAAAACCUCUAAGCUUCAGGUAAUAACAGCCCGUACCGUAAACCGACACAGGUAGUCGAGGAGAAUAUCCUAAGGCGCUCGAGUGAGUCAUGGCUAAGGAACUAGGCAAAUUAGUCUCGUAACUUCGGGAAAAGAGACCCCCACUUCGGUGGGGCGCAGAGAAAUGGCCCAGGCGACUGUUUAGCAAAAACACAGGACUCUGCAAAAUCGAAAGAUGACGUAUAGGGUCUGACACCUGCCCGGUGCCGGAAGGUUAAGGAAGGGGGUUAGCGCAAGCGAAGCUCUUGACUGAAGCCCCGGUAAACGGCGGCCGUAACGAUAACGGUCCUAAGGUAGCGAAAUUCCUUGUCGGGUAAGUUCCGACCUGCACGAAUGGUGUAACGAUCUGGGCACUGUCUCAGCCAUGAGCUCGGUGAAAUUGAAGUAUCGGUGAAGAUACCGGUUACCCGCCACGGGACGAAAAGACCCCGUGCACCUUUACUAUAGCUUCACAUUGUGCUUGAAUAUAAGAUGUGUAGGAUAGGUGGGAGACUUUGAAGCGGCCACGCUAGUGGUUGUGGAGUCAACGUUGAAAUACCACCCUUCUUCUAUUUAGGUUCUAACCCCGUACCCACGGGGGACAGUGUGUGGUGGGUAGUUUGACUGGGGUGGUCGCCUCCUAAAGAGUAACGGAGGCUUGCAAAGGUGCCCUCAGCAUGGACGGUAAUCAUGCGAAGAGCGUAUUAGUAUAAGGGCGCUUGACUGAGAGAGCGACGGCUCGACCAGGUACGAAAGUAGGCUAAAGUGAUCCGGUGGUUCCGCAUGGAAGGGCCAUCGCUCAAAGGAUAAAAGGUACGCCGGGGAUAACAGGCUGAUCUCCCCCAAGAGCUCAUAUCGACGGGGAGGUUUGGCACCUCGAUGUCGGUUCGUCACAUCCUGGGGCUGAAGAAGGUCCCAAGGGUUCGGCUGUUCGCCGAUUAAAGUGGCACGUGAACUGGGUUCAGAACGUCGCAAGACAGUUCGGUCUCUAUCUGUGGUGGGCGUUGUAAUAUUGAAGGGAACUGACUCUAGUACGAGAGGACCGAGUUGGACGUACCUCUAGUGUAUCUGUUGUGCCGCCAGGUGCAGCGCAGAGUAGCUAUGUACGGACUAGAUAAGCGCUGAAAGCAUCUAAGCGCGAAGCUAUCCUUAAGAUGAGUAUUACUGGGGUCGUAGAAGACGACUACGUUGAUAGGCUAUAGGUGUAAGCGUAGUAAUACGUUCAGCUGAGAAGUACUAAUUACCCCUUAGCUUC